CCUUGGCAUGUAGAAUUUCAUAGCCAUUAAGAUCAGAUCUCAAAAGCUCCCUCUUCUUCCUCUUCUGAAGAAGUCCUCUGGCAUCUUCAUCUAUCUUUCCUAUGAAGAUUAGCAUGCGAGCGAAGUAGAGGAUCUGGACAUCUAGAUCUCGCGGAGCAGCAGAUCUUCAGGAACUUCAACCUUGAUCAAGACUUCCAUUGUGAAUCAAGAUAAGAUUUCAUAAAAGUUAUGAAAAGUUUUUAAUUAUAAUCUAUUCAAUUUUUCUUCUUGGCCAUGCGAUGCGGAUCGCAUGUUUCCUUCAAUUGGUACCAAAACAAGGUUCUAUGUC
rnacentral:lncRNA from 1 species